GAGGAAGAAGAGGAGUAGAGGAACAGCAGGGGAUGGAUGAUAUUAUCGCCGCACUUUCUGCCUAGAAAUCCUGUCUCUUGUGCGGAGAGGGGCCACAAUGUCCAUCCUCCCUCUGUUUUGUCGUGUCCUGCUGCCUUAUUAGCCGUCGGUGCAUGUCGGGACCUGAAAUAGAUUAUAAAUAGAUAAAUUGAUCAGAGCAAUGUGAUGGGUGAAGACGCCUGGGUGUUUAAGCGGCUUCUUUAUUUGUCUGUUCAAGGGCAUAAUAAUCUAUGACAAUAAAUUCGGUCUUUUUUUUGUUGUUGCCCUGACUGUGUCAUAGAAAAGAACAAUACCAAACCCCCUCUCCACACUCAUCGGGAUGAAAGAAAGGCAAAAGGAGGGGAGAAUAAAACGAGGGAGGGAGACGUGUUUCAGAGAAAGAGAGAGCAAGAGCAAAACUACAGGGGAAUGGAAAUGGUAAAAUAUUCAUGAGGGAGAGACACAGAGAGAGAGAGAGAGAGAGAGGGCAGAAAGGAAGGAGACAAAGAGUCGGACGUAGUGUACGUAUGUGUGUGAGCGUGAGUAUUAUUCCUAAUGAGAGACAUCCCGCCGUAGAGGCUUUGUUAAUCAAACGUUGUCUUUUAUCUGCGCGUCAGUUGCAGUCCGCUAUUAAUUUCCAUAGACAAGAGCGUCUGUACAGUGUCCCUACAGGAACACAUUUGCAUGAAAAUAGAGGGGUCAGAAAGGGCCGAGAGCACAUAAAGCCCUCUUUGAGUUGUGUGAAGUAGUGUGUUGUGUGAGGUAGCACGCGUGUGUGUGAAGUCCAGUUUCCUUCCCUAAAGCAGGAAAGUAGGCUUGUUGGAACAGAUAUUUGAAACAGAUAAACGUUAUACAACUUCUUUCUUUGAGUGAGGGGAGUGGGUUUGAAGGCUGCUUGUUGAUUUAACAUAAUUGUUGUUGUAUUCUGCCCUCUGCUGGCCCUCAGCGGUCACCAAGCCACUGACUGGGGACGUUCGCUGUUGACGUGUUUCCGCCAACGUGUUCACGCUCGUCUUUUCUCCUUCUAAAAAGCAGAAACCUCUAAAGUGUCAGUUGACUCAGAGGUGCACUUCUUAAGAGUGUGGAUUAGUACUUCAUCAGGCCGGCCUGAGUUAGAGGACAACAUUUACAAUUUUGACAGCAUGUUCCCAUGAUCCUGGUGUGUUUCCAAUAUAUAAAAAAAUGUGUACAUGGAAACCGGUUUCUACAUAUCACCCAAAAUGAGAGGAUACGACCUCCACAUACAUUUAUCCUAAGUGCUGCAUAUUACAGUAGGAACAAGGUGUUAGGUCAUGAAAAAACCUGUCUCAAACCCUCAUGAUAAUCUGUGUGUGUGUGUGUGUGUGUGUGUGUGUGUGUGUGUGUGUGUGUGUGUGUGUGUUAGUCAUCAAACGUGUGCGCAUGAACAAAUCUCCGCAGAUUGAAACUCUGACCCGCAGGAAAAGCAGAGGUGGCAGUUAGCCUCACCCAGCUUGUCAACUGUAGAGAUUUCUCUGCUCCACCCUGGGAUGGACCGAGACACAAGGUGUUGCUGGUUUGACUGGUCUGAGGAUCAGCUAACAAAAGAGAUUCAUGUAAAGAAGUUGUCUUGGCAGCAGUUUCACACUUCCGCCGACCCUAUGCAAAGAGUUCACACUUUAAAGGCACAGGCCUGAGGAGAAAGUAGAGCAAUUUUAUGGAGGCAUUUUUUUAAGGAAAUAACUGUAGGCCUAUGGACAUAUUCAUUAUUUUAGAGUCAAUACUGACGUCUUAAUCCACCAAUCUGGGUAGUAUAAAAGGAUUCAAAUGUAACUCAUUACUAAAACCCCUGAAUAAACAGUGAGGACAUGGCCUGAUCACAGUUCUUUUUUACUCUUUCAUUACCUUUUUUAUUUCUCAAAAGAUGUAAACAUCCCCCCAGUCAUCCCGGCUUCUCACGCCACUCGGGCUGAGAGGUCUGGCGGCGGUUCAAGUGAAACUCCUGCGUGUUUGCGCGCUCACUUUAGCGGUUCUGGCAUGAAAAAUGUUUGGUGCUCUUGAAUCUAACCUCUUUUCUAAGGGUUCCUCGAGGAUUCCCCCAAAACCUUCAGGGUCACGAGGAGGCAGGGCCCUGCUCUGUGUUGCAUCAGUCGGUGUUUUUCGUCAUGUCACAGGUCAAACGGGUGAGGAGGACUAAUGGGUUUCACUGCAGCAGCUCCAUGAAGACACAGUAUGUGCCAAAAAGCACGGUUGGCUGGAAAGCAACAGAAACUGCUGCAGGUUUGCACUUGUCCUCUGAGGUCCUACCGUCUGGAUAUUCAAUCUGACUGUGUGUGUGUCUUUGUGUGUGUUAUGCGCGUGAUGUGAUGAAUCAAAUCAAUAGAGCGAGUCAAACGUUCCUGUAUCUCUUGUUCUUCACAGCUCUGUUCUUGUUAAUCCUUUUAAUUAUUGGGAGCAGUGUGACUUUUGUCCCUACUUGUGUCAAAGUAUUUGUUAUUUUCAUGUGUGGAAACAGAGUAGAGGAGCUUAUGAAUGCUAAACUGCAUUACAGUUAAAAGCUGUUAAGAGAACAAACUGUUUAAAGACACAAAAUCCUGCAUACAAAGUCCUUGUGGUCGCGUUGCAUCUUCUGUGUUUAGGGGGAAACAGUAAAACAAGGUCGGAGGACGCUUUGACCGGAAACGUCUGGACCAACAGGCCGAAGAAAGGAACCGAAUCAUCCGUCCAAUGAUAUAUGGAGUUCAUCCAUCAAAUGUUUACACAUCACAUCCAAAAUACAGGUUUAGAUCAUUAAUUAAAGAAAUAUCACACUGAAGCUACAUGAAAACAUUCCGCCAAAUCAAACAGUGACUGUGAAUGUUUCCUCAAUAAUGUGUGUUCAAUAUUUUCAAGAUUCUGUUUCUGUUUCCUGUUUCCUGAAAGGACACAUUUUGGGUUAAACAGCUAAUCUGUUGAGCAAAGAAUCCUCUUCUGCUGAGCGGUGCGCCUGCAAGUGUGCAUGCGUGAGAGUGAACGUACGCGGGCCUGCGUGACAUGAAGAUGACAUGAAGUUCCACAGCACGCAUGAAUCCAGCCUUUUCUUUCUCGGAAAAGAGAGGCACGUUCUUUGGGUGUCAUAUAAUCUAUCCACGGCAGUGACAAAGUACAUUCACUGAAGUACUGAGCUAAAUAACUACUUUGAGUUACUUGUCUUUCAUCAGAAUAUUUUAACAAGUCUGCUUCCAUAUCUCUAAAUUUCAAUGUUUCAAAUAAAUUGGAAUGAGUUCAAGCUUGACUUCCCCCCUCUGACUAAAUCUUCACGGCGGCUGACUUGUUCGCAGCACAAAGCACGGACGUGGACGAGGCAGACUGAGAGACUUAGAAGUGGAAGAGCUUGUUUGACGAUCUCCCACGCUUUCUUCAACAACAACCUCCUUCAGUCAAAAGUCACCUCACCGGUCCCGUCCCCAAACCUCCACCUCUCCACGAGGCGCCCAUGUGACUUGGAAAUAAGGCGCACAUUGUUGGCCGCCUGGUCUGAAGUCGCGAAGGUUGAGCAAUUAUCAGCAAGUGGAAAAAAAGGCAGGCUCAAGUGGAGUCUAGCUGCAGCAUGCGGGUCUGCCGUGCCCUCUGCGCUUGUUUUCACUGUCAUCAUUGGGAACGACGUGAUAGCAUCAAACCCCGGCCUCAGCGAAUUCACUGAAAAACAUCACAACAUCGUCUCUAUGGAGACAAUCAGAGGAGACUGUAAUUGAAAAAGCAAAAAAAAAAAA